CCCCCAUCUAUCUAUAUCCAACUUUUGUCUCUUGUCUUAUUCUUAGAUUGUAAAUCCCUUGGGACAGGGAAGGUUGUUUUGUUCUGUGUUUGUACAGCACCUAGCACAGUUGGUUCCUCCUCCAUGACUAAGGCUCCUCGGCAGUAUGGAACUAGAGUUCCAUUCAGCCUUUCAGACAUGGUAGAAGAUCUUAUUUUCAAAGAAGGAGGGAAAAAACCUUUCUGAUAAAUAUAGAACAGACUGAAUUUUCUUUCCUUUAAGACAUCUCAGAAUAACUGUGAAAUUGUCAACGCAGGAGGAAAAGGUGGACAUUUACAACAUGGAAAUUUCAAAGGGACAUGAAUUCUACCCAGGAGAAAGGAACCUGCUCUUCUGAAUUAUUCUGACACUCACUCUCUCUCUCUGCUGUAUGGAGAUAAAUAACCUCUUUAUGUGGUGCAUGUGUGUCAAGGUCUAAUAUAUAUGUAAAAAAAUUAUGAUGAUGAAAUUAACAUUAAGAAUGUCACCCUUACUUCAGCUUCGGUAGCAUGGUCACAUGACCAUUAUACCUGUCCUAACGAGUUUUAAAGAGUCAUAUAUUGGCCCAGCUGGAACAGCAUCUUGUCUGGUGUUUUGCGACAGAAUUUUCACCAGGAGGAACUUAUACCUUUUGAGCCAUGACUUCUUGACCUUGCAGAUGCUAACACCAUCUACAAACUAUAUCCUGUGUGUUACACUGCCAGGAGAUAGAGCCUUCUAGAGAAUGAGGACCCUGGCGAUGGAAUAUCAAUAUACAGAACAGGAAAAUAAGAGAAACACACCUCAUGCCAGCAGCUGUACAUGACUUUGUACACAAUGUUGCACUUCCCAGAUGUCAUUGAUACCAGCUGCCAUACCAGUGAGAUUAUGCCUGGCUUUGUGCAGUUGACUAGACAGAAGGAGCAGCUAUCAGUGUACUCUCCCUACUCAGCAUUCAAUUCGAAAUGGAGGUGACCUAAAGAUACAGUGUUUCACUUAGUGUACAGUGUGUGUGUACUAUGAAGUUAGUACAAUUUUCAUUGUAAACUCAUGGAGCAUGGUCUGUGUUGUCUUCUGUGCAUUGUACAAUGUCAAGCACAACGAUAAUACUCAUCAAAUAAUAAACCUUAUGAAAACA